rnacentral:misc_RNA from 1 species
GAUGAAGAACGUAGUGAAAUGCGAUAAGUAAUGUGAAUUGCAGAAUUCAGUGAAUCAUCGAAUCUUUGAACGCACAUUGCGCCCGCCAGUAUUCUGGCGGGCAUGCCUGUUCGAGCGUCAUUUCAACCAUCAAGCCCCCGGCUUGUGUUGGGGACCUGCGGCUGCCGCAGGCCCUGAAAACCAGUGGCGGGCUCGCUAGUCACUCCGAGCGUAGUAGUUACAUCUCGCUCAGGGCGUGCUGCGGGUUCCGGCCGUUAAAAGCCUUAUUUACCCAAGGUUGACCUCGGAUCAGGUAGGAAGACCCGCUAAACUUAAGCAUAUCAAUAAGCGGAGGA